GGGUCUGUAGCUCAGUUGGUAGAGCGCACCCCUGAUAAGGGUGAGGUCGGUGGUUCGAAUCCACCCAGACCAC
rnacentral:tRNA from 1 species